CCUACGGGUGACAGCAGUCGAGAAUCAUUCACAAUGGGGGAAACCCUGAUGGUGCGACGCCGCGUGGGGGAAUGAAGGUCUUCGGAUUGUAAACCCCUGUCAUGUGGGAGCAAAUUAAAAAGAUAGUACCACAAGAGGAAGAGACGGCUAACUCUGUGCCAGCAGCCGCGGUAAUACAGAGGUCUCAAGCGUUGUUCGGAAUCACUGGGCGUAAAGCGUGCGUAGGCUGUUUCGUAAGUCGUGUGUGAAAGGCGCGGGCUCAACCCGCGGACGGCACAUGAUACUGCGAGACUAGAGUAAGGGAGGGGGAACCGGAAUUCUCGGUGUAGCAGUGAAAUGCGUAGAUAUCGAGAGGAACACUCGUGGCGAAGGCGGGUUCCUGGACAUUAGCUGACGCUGAGGCACGAAGGCCAGGGGAGCGAAAGGGAUUAGAUACCCUGGUAGUC
rnacentral:rRNA from 1 species